CUUAAAGGUACUUACUUAGUCGUAAAUACGUAUGUAAUUUCUAACAAGUUUCUAACAAAGGUCUAGAUGUGGCCAGGUAGCAAUCAAUACUGAGAGACGGACCGCGCAUGCGCGAGAAACAUGUCCGCCAAACAUAGCUUUGAUCGAAAUUGUGAAAACACAACAUUGAAAAAUAGAAAUAUUGAAAAAAACAUGGCGUCAGAAAAGGAGAAUCACGUUACUAAAGAAACUGAAGAGGUUCGAGGUUCGAUCGACGAGCUCAAAGAGCGGUUAUCAUCAAUGAAGCGGAUCCUAGAAGAUCGGAAUUCGUCAGGGUCUGGCACUAAAGAUCUAUUCCAGGGUCACGCACCGAGCAUGGAGGGCACCACCAUGAUUGAUGGCAGCUUCCUGAGCUUCGUAUUUGGUGGCUCCCUCGUCGUGAUCAUAAGCGUCUCAUUUUACGCUUUCUACAAUCUGUACCAUGCAGUUUUGAAGAAAUUCCCCUCGCCUCAUACGGAAUUGUAAAUUCUCCCCAUUUUUAGGGUAUCGGAGAAACUUGUGGCCAAAGAAAGGCUUGAGACUGCGCAUUCCUUUUAAUUAUAAGUAUUUCCUAUAUUAUAAUAAGAUGUAUAAUAAAUGAUUAUACAUUGC